rnacentral:rRNA from 1 species
GAUGAACGCUGGCGGCGUGCCUAAUACAUGCAAGUCGAGCGAACGGACGAGAAGCUUGCUUCUCUGAUGUUAGCGGCGGACGGGUGAGUAACACGUGGAUAACCUACCUAUAAGACUGGGAUAACUUCGGGAAACCGGAGCUAAUACCGGAUGAUAUUUUGAACCGCAUGGUUCAAAAGUGAAAGACGGUCUUGCUGUCACUUAUAGAUGGAUCCGCGCUGCAUUAGCUAGUUGGUAAGGUAACGGCUUACCAAGGCAACGAUGCAUAGCCGACCUGAGUGGGGGAUAGGCACACCGGGAACUGAAAAACGGCCCAAACCCCUAGGGGGGGCAGAAGGGGGGAAUCUUCCGCAAUGGGCGAAAGCCUGACGGGGCAACGCCGGGGGGGGAAUGAAGGUUUUGGGAUCGUAAAACUCUGUUAUUAGGGAAAAAAAUAUGUGUAAAAAACUGUGCACAUUUUGACGGUACUAAAGCAGAAAGCCCCGGCUAACUCCGU